rnacentral:tRNA from 1 species
GUGGUGGCUCAGUGGAAAGCAUAUGCUUUGCAUGCAGAAGUUCCCAGGUUCAAUCCCUGGCAUGUCCA